rnacentral:rRNA from 1 species
GCCUUUCGGGAUUGUAAAAGCUUUUGUUGUUAGAGAAGGAAUCAAAUCUCGCUAGUAAUCCGGGCUGUGACUUAGGGUAUCCAAAACCUAAACACCGGGUCUAAUCGUGUCAGCGCACCCGCUGUUAUAAGGAGUGCACAAGUGUUUUCGAAUUUUAUUGCGUGAAAAGUGCUUACGUGCUCGUUUAAAUCUGUGAUGAGAAACCCCGCCUCUCACCGGGGGAUGCUCUGGAUAAUGGGGGGAUAGAGAGUGGUGGAGAGGAGAGUGGUAUUCUCGUGUGUCAGGGAGAAAUGUGUAGAUAUGGAGAGGCACACCAGGGGAGGAGAGGUCUCUGUGCUAUGUAAGACACGGAGACGAGAAAAAGUGUGGAGCAAGAACAAGAAGAGAUACCUGUUAGUGUACACGCUAAAAGAUAUGAGUGGUAAGUGGUGGGCAGUUUGCCACGCAGAGUGGAGCAGAUAACGCAAUGAUCACUCCGCGGGGAGAGCGGUGUCACAAGAGUAAAUCUCAAAAGAUUUGGGGGGGCCCCGCACAAGCGGGGGUACAUGGGGUAUUAUUAGAAACAACGAGAAGCACUUUAUCACGUUUUCACAUCGUGAGCCAAUCAGAGAGAUAGGGGGUCCCUUUGGAAGUCAGACUCACAGGCGGCACAUGGUUGUUCUCAUCUUGUGUUGAGAGAUUGGGGUAAAAGUCCCACAGAGAGCACACCCUUUCAUUAUUGUCCACCACAUUCAGGUGGGCACUCUAAGGUGACUGCCGGUGACAAACCGGAGGAAGGUGGGGAUGACGUCAAGUCAUCAUGCCCCUUAUGGCCAGGGCUACACACGUGCUACAAUGGUCGGAACAAAGGGCAGCGAACCGGCGAGGGUAAGCCAAUCCCAGAAAUCUGUUCUCAGUUCGGAUCGCAGUCUGCAACUCGACUGCGUGAAGUUGGAAUCGCUAGUAAUCGCGGAUCAGCAUUGCGCGGUGAAAUAGUUUCCGGGCCUUUACCCCCCCCCCGUCACCACCGAGAAUUUUAACCCCCGAAAUCGGGAGGUAACCUUUCAGGAGCCAGCUCCGAAGGGGUCCAUC